GACGAACGCUGGCGGCGUGCUUAACACAUGCAAGUCGAACGGAAAGGCCCUGCUUUUGUGGGGUGCUCGAGUGGCGAACGGGUGAGUAACACGUGAGUAACCUGCCCUUGACUUUGGGAUAACUUCAGGAAACUGGGGCUAAUACCGGAUAGGAGCUCCUGCUGCAUGGUGGGGGUUGGAAAGUUUCGGCGGUUGGGGAUGGACUCGCGGCUUAUCAGCUUGUUGGUGGGGUAGUGGCUUACCAAGGCUUUGACGGGUAGCCGGCCUGAGAGGGUGACCGGCCACAGUGGGACUGAGAGACGGCCCAGACUCCUACGGGAGGCAGCAGUGGGGAAUAUGGCACAAUGGGCGGAAGCCUGAUGCAGCAACGCCGCGUGCGGGAUGACGGCCUUCGGGUUGUAAACCGCUUUCGCCUGUGACGAAGCGUGAGUGACGGUAAUGGGUAAAGAAGCACCGGCUAACUACGUG
rnacentral:rRNA from 1 species